rnacentral:rRNA from 1 species
AAAUUGAAGAGUUUGAUCAUGGCUCAGAUUGAACGCUGGCGGCAGGCCUAACACAUGCAAGUCGAACGGUAGCAGGAAGAAGCUUGCUUCUUUGCUGACGAGUGGCGGACGGGUGAGUAAUGUCUGGGAAACUGCCUGAUGGAGGGGGAUAACUACUGGAAACGGUAGCUAAUACCGCAUAACGUCGCAAGACCAAAGAGGGGGACCUUCGGGCCUCUUGCCAUCGGAUGUGCCCAGAUGGGAUUAGCUUGUUGGUGGGGUAACGGCUCACCAAGGCGACGAUCCCUAGCUGGUCUGAGAGGAUGACCAGCCACACUGGAACUGAGACACGGUCCAGACUCCUACGGGAGGCAGCAGUGGGGAAUAUUGCACAAUGGGCGCAAGCCUGAUGCAGCCAUGCCGCGUGUAUGAAGAAGGCCUUCGGGUUGUAAAGUACUUUCAGCGGGGAGGAAGGGAGUAAAGUUAAUACCUUU